rnacentral:rRNA from 1 species
AAACCUGAGGAACCCGAAAGAUCGAAUGGGGAGAUUCAGCGUCAGCGGCGCUGGCUCGGCCGAGUGAGCGAUGUUGCCGACUACGGUUGGCGACACGUUAUCACUCAUGCCUUGUCCGGUGUCGUCGUCGUGCACUUCUCCUCUAGUAGAACGUCGCGACCCGUUGGGUGCCGGUCCUACGGUCCGAGCGGUAGACUGUCGCGUCGCUUCGGCGCACGCGUCAGACCCUCGGUCGCCCGGCCGGCUGCCCGGCGGUCGAACUUAUAAGGUAUCUUGCCGCAAUUAUCGAACUGCGUCGGGCCCGCCGCAAGCGCGGUCAGUGUCUCGGAGGUACGGACCCGGUGCCGUCCCCGAGCCUGACCAGCUGUUGGCAGGCGGAGUCCUCUGACGGGCAAUACACAAUAAUACCGGUCUGCGACGCUACUGCUUUGGGUACUCUCAGGACCCGUCUUGAAACACGGACCAAGGAGUCUAACAUGUGCGCGAGUCAUUGGGACUGCAAAGCCUAAAGGCGUAAUGAAAGUGAAGGUCGACCUCGCGUCGACCGAGGGAGGAUGGGCCGCGUUAAGACGCGGCUCCGCACUCCCGGGGCGUCUCGUUCUCAUUGCGAGAAGAGGCGCACCCAGAGCGUACACGUUGGGACCCGAAAGAUGGUGAACUAUGCCUGGUCAGGACGAAGUCAGGGGAAACCCUGAUGGAGGUCCGUAGCGAUUCUGACGUGCAAAUCGAUCGUCGGAACUGGGUAUAGGGGCGAAAGACUAAUCGAACCAUCUAGUAGCUGGUUCCCUCCGAAGUUUCCCUCAGGAUAGCUGGCACUCGCCCGUUCUCUUCGAACGUAAACGAGUCUCAUCUGGUAAAGCGAAUGAUUAGAGGCCUUGGGGCCGAAACGACCUCAACCUAUUCUCAAACUUUAAAUGGGUGAGAUCUCUGGCUUGCUUGAACUAUGAAGCCAUGAGAGAUUUCGGAUCAGAGUGCCAAGUGGGCCAAUUUU